GGAAUAUUGGACAAUGGGCGCAAGCCUGAUCCAGCCAUGCCGCGUGAGUGAUGAAGGCCUUAGGGUUGUAAAGCCCUUUCACCGAUGAAGAUAAUGACGGUAGUCGGAGAAGCAGCCCCGGCUAACUUCGUCCCCGCAGCCGCGGUAAUACGAAGGGGGCUAGGGUUGUUCGGCUUUACUGGGCGUAAAGCGCACGUAGGCGGUUUGUUAAGUCAGAGGUGAAAUCCCGGAGCUCAACUCCGGAACUGCCUUUGAUACUGGCAAGCUAGAGUCCGGAAGAGGUAAGUGGAACUCCUAGUGUAGAGGUGGAAUUCGUAGAUAUUAGGAAGAACACCAGUGGCGAAGGCGGCUUACUGGUCCGGAACUGACGCUGAGGCGCGAAAGCGUGGGGAGCAAAC
rnacentral:rRNA from 1 species